AGAACCUCCUGUGGAACCUGAAUAUGUUAAUGCUAUAGAGCUCAACAGAUUGUCUGAGAACGGAGAGGAGGAGAAAUAUGCAGAAAUAUUGUUCUCAGCAGAAACUCGUCAAAUAGAAGCGAGACAGAAGGAUCUCAGAUCAUCAUCAUCAUCAUCAUCAUCAGAAUAUGAAAACUAAAGACUUUUUCAUUGACUGCUGCCUUUGAUUGAAUCAGAUUUCUUAAACUGAACUGUAACUUUAACUACAGCUGUUUUAACCUUUUGGCUCUUUAAUUGUAUCUAAAUGUAAUUUUAUGAUUUGUUGCUUUUGUGUUUUCUCUUGAAGCCUUUUUAUGUUUAUGUAAAUCACUCUGAAUUAUCUUUUUGCUGAAAUGUGACACACAAAUAAACUCUCCUGUCUAAACUUCUGGUAAAGUCUCACUUGAAUGCAGCCACAGAAAGAUUAAAUACACAGAGACACAUGAAGCAC